GAUGAACGCUGGCGGCGUGCCUAAUACAUGCAAGUCGAGCGAACAGACGAGGAGCUUGCUCCUCUGACGUUAGCGGCGGACGGGUGAGUAACAUGUGGAUAACCUACCUAUAAGACUGGGAUAACAUCGGGAAACCGGAGCUAAUACCGGAUAAUAUAUUGAACCGCAUGGUUCAAUAGUGAAAGACGGUUUUGCUGUCACUUAUAGAUGGAUCCGCGCCGCAUUAGCUAGUUGGUAAGGUAACGGCUUACCAAGGCGACGAUGCGUAGCCGACCUGAGAGGGUGAUCGGCCACACUGGAACUGAGACACGGUCCAGACUACUACGGGAGGCAGCAGUAGGGAAUCUUCCGCAAUGGGCGAAAGCCUGACGGAGGAGCGCCGCGUGAGUGAUGAAGGUCUUCGGAUCGUAAGACUGUGUUAUGAGUGAAGAACGAAUGUGUAAGUAACUAUGCACGUCUUGACGGUACCUAAUCAGAAAGCCACGGCUAACUACGUG
rnacentral:rRNA from 1 species